UACGUAGGUGACGAGCGUUAUCCGGAAUUAUUGGGCGUAAAGCGCACGCAAGCGGUUCGACAAGUCUGACGUGAAAUCUCCUGGCUUAACUGGGAGCGGUCGUUGGAAACUGUCGAGCUUGAGGCGAUGAGAGGGGUGCAGAAUUCCCGGUGUAGUGGUGGAAUGCGUAGAGAUCGGGGGGAAUACCUGUGGCGAAAGCGGCACCCUGGCGUCGUUCUGACGCUCAUGUGCGAAAGCGUGGGGAGCGAACGGG
rnacentral:rRNA from 1 species